rnacentral:tRNA from 1 species
GCCGCCUUAGCUCAGCCGGUAGAGCACAUCAUUCGUAAUGAUGGGGUCGCGUGUUCGAGUCACGCAGGCGGCA